UGGGGAAUUUUGGACAAUGGGCGAAAGCCUGAUCCAGCAAUGCCGCGUGUGUGAAGAAGGCCUUCGGGUUGUAAAGCACUUUUGUCCGGAAAGAAAUCCUUGGCUCUAAUACAGUCGGGGGAUGACGGUACCGGAAGAAUAAGCACCGGCUAACUACGUGCCAGCAGCCGCGGUAAUACGUAGGGUGCAAGCGUUAAUCGGAAUUACUGGGCGUAAAGCGUGCGCAGGCGGUUUGCUAAGACCGAUGUGAAAUCCCCGGGCUCAACCUGGGAACUGCAUUGGUGACUGGCAGGCUAGAGUAUGGCAGAGGGGGGUAGAAUUCCACGUGUAGCAGUGAAAUGCAUAGAGAUGUGGAGGAAUACCGAUGGCGAAGGCAGCCCCCUGGGCCAAUACUGACGCUCAUGCACGAAAGCGUGGGGAGCAAACAGGAUUAGAUACCCUGGUAGUCCACGCCCCUAAAACGAUGUCAACUAGUUGUUGGGGAUUCAUUUUCUUAGUAACGUAGCUAACGCGUGAAGUUGACCGCCUGGGGAGUACGGUCGCAAGAUUAAAACUUAAAUGAAUUGACGGGGUCAUAGCUGUUUCCU
rnacentral:rRNA from 1 species